GAGGCGCAAUGGGUAGCGAGUUGGACUUUUAAUCCAAAGGUCGUGCGUUCGAAUCCCACCUGAUAUA